AUUGAACGCUGGCGGCAGGCCUAACACAUGCAAGUCGAGCGAGCGGCGGACGGGUGAGUACUGGCUGGGAAACUGCCUGCUGUAGGGGGAUAACUACUGGAAACCGUAGCUAAUACCGCAUACCAUCAGAUGUGCCCAGAUGGGAUUAGCUGGGAGGUGGGGUAACGGCUCACCUGGGCGACGAUCUCUAGCUGGUCUGAGAGGAUGACCGGCCACACUGGAACUGAGACCCGGUCCAGACUCCUACGGGAGGCAGCAGUGGGGAAUAUUGCACAAUGGGCGCAAGCCUGAUGCAGCCAUGCCGCGUGUAGGAAGAAGGCCUUCGGGUUGUAAAGUACUUUCAGCGGGGAGGCGGUACCCGCAGAAGAAGCACCGGCUAACUCCGUGCCAGCAGCCGCGGUAAUUC
rnacentral:rRNA from 1 species